rnacentral:rRNA from 1 species
UACGUAGGGUGCAAGCGUUAAUCGGAAUUACUGGGCGUAAAGCGUGCGCAGGCGGCUUGCAAGACAGAUGUGAAAUCCCCGGGCUCAACCUGGGAACUGCAUUUGUGACUGCAUGGCUAGAGUACGGUAGAGGGGGAUGGAAUUCCGCGUGUAGCAGUGAAAUGCGUAGAUAUGCGGAGGAACACCGAUGGCGAAGGCAAUCCCCUGGACCUGUACUGACGCUCAUGCACGAAAGCGUGGGAGCAACAGG